rnacentral:sRNA from 1 species
CACAAAGACAUCUACUGUUAAAUUGUGAGAGAGAAGCGAGCAGAAAAAAGUGUUAGGCUCAAACAAAUCUGGAAGAGGUCAGUCAUCAGUGAAGCUAAGGAUUAUGGAAUAAACAUGGAGCCAGAUAAAGAAAGCUGCUCAGAAUAGAGUUUAAUGGAGAUUUGUGGUUGCAGCUCUAUGCUCACCUGGGGUACACAGGAACAAGCUAAGAAUUACAUAUGAAUUGGAUAAUAGUAUAAUAUCAAUGACAUUUGCUAACUUGAACAUUUGAUGUGGUGACGAUAACUACAAUAGAUCUACAUCAGAUAUCUGAAUUCUGCUGAACUGAGUGGUUAAAAUGGAAAUAGUAAUUGUCAUCAUUCUACAUCAGAAUGGUGUGAACUAAGGAACAAGAGUUCUGAUGUCUGCUUCUGAGUUCUGAUGUCUGCUUGCUGUACAGACAGUAGUUCAAGAGGACUAGAUCAGGUCAUGUAUUCACAUUUAUUAUCUUCCCUAGUUUUUAGUUUAAUAUGUUUCAGAUCUUUCUUCAGAUGUGAAGAUUAUUUCAUCCCAGUGCACGACAUGGCCUAAAUUGUGCAGAUGUGCCUAAAAUCAAAUCAAAUUCAUCCCAGUGCAAACUUCCCAGUGGAUGACUGGGGAUUAACCCAAUCCAGAGCACAUACCACAUGACCAGGCAUUCAUCCUAUACAUUAAAGUGUUGCAUGGGUCUCAUACAUUACACUUCAUUUCUUAUAUUUAUUAUUUAUAUUGUUAGUUGAUUCUGACACAUUUAAACAUACAAUCUAAAGAUUUUUUAAUUGUAUUUCUUAGAAAUGUUCAACCAUUAGUGUUAUCAUAUGCUGCGUUGUUUAUAAAUUACGAUAAUAUGAUGCAUUAAGUAGAAAACCUAAUGUAAAAAUUUACCAUAAACUAAAUUCUCAAUCAAAGCUUAAGAAUUACUCAGUAACUAAUAAAAUAUCAUAGAUCAUUUUUAAGAAAUUAAUCUGCUACUAAUUAAAAACAAUAUAAAGUGAUUAUUUUUUGACAUAUUACAAAUUAAGCUUAACAACAAUUGAAUGUUUAGACAAUAUUAGACAAUUAGUAUCAAGCACAAUAUUUAACCCUACCAGAUCUUAAACCCUAAACCUAAUUGUUCCCAAUGCUGGAGCUCCAGAGCUCCACCCCUUUAUUUCUUACUAUCCUUCUGGCUGUAAUAAAGUUAAAGGGACUGCUGUGUCCAUGUAAGGAACAGAAGCCUUCUUCAUUUGAUACGUAUAUAUCAGACAAAGUGCUUUUCAAAUUGAUGUAAGACAAUACAUCUUUAUUUUUCUGAAAUACAAUCUCUGUAUUUUUCUCUUAGUCCAUUUUUAAUCCAGAUGUUUUCAUAACAGAUCCAUACAAUAACAAUAGUAUAUCUAAUUCAACUACAUCAGUUUACAAGCUUUUUAUCUAGUCAUUCUGACCGGUACAUAAAAUUCACCUUUUGAUGUCCCAUCACUCUGUAACUUGUCUUCUUCAACCAAC